CGAAUGUUUAUCAAUGGCGGAAAAGUUGAAAGCAUGAGAGAACAUGUUUCUUUCUGUCUCAUUUGUUAGGAUUGGAAAUGCCGACUACUAAAGCAGAUUCGCGUGUAGUUAAGAGAAAUCCAUUUGAGGAGCCACCUGUCCCAAAGGCUUUCUACCAUCCAGGUUCACCCAAAAGGCUCUCCAAAAAGGACAGAAAUACUGCAUUAAGUCCAGACAGGAAAAAUGAGCAGAGCAUCAGGGAGUGUAGAAGUACUGUUCAAGAUGACCCUUUUCUAAGUGGAUCGCACAGGUUUACAGAGGCUUAUGAUCCAAGCCCUAAGGAUUCUUCUUCAAAGUUUGACGAGUCCUGGCCCAGCAGUGAGCGACCUUCCUGUG